GUAGGUGGCAAGCGUUGUCCGGAAUUAUUGGGCGUAAAGCGCGCGCAGGCGGUUCUUUAAGUCUGAUGUGAAAGCCCACGGCUCAACCGUGGAGGGUCAUUGGAAACUGGAGAACUUGAGUACAGAAGAGGAAAGCGGAAUUCCACGUGCAGCGGUGAAAUGCGUAGAGAUGUGGAGGAACACCAGUGGCGAAGGCGGCUUUCUGGUCUGUAACUGACGCUGAGGCGCGAAAGCGUGGGGGAGCAAACAGGAUUAGAUACCCUGGUAGUCCACGCCGUAAACGAUGAGUGCUAAGUGUUAGGGGGUUUCCGCCCCUUAGUGCUGCAGCUAACGCAUUAAGCACUCCGCCUGGGAGUACGGCCGCAAGGCUA
rnacentral:rRNA from 1 species